rnacentral:rRNA from 1 species
GACAGAGGGUGCAAACGUUGCUCGGAAUUACUGGGCGUAAAGCGCGUGUAGGCGGGUCGGUAAGUCGGACGUGAAAUCCCUAGGCUCAACCUAGGAACUGCGCUCGAAACUGCCGGUCUUGAGUGGUGGAGAGGGAAGUGGAAUUCCUGGUGUAGAGGUGAAAUUCGUAGAUAUCAGGAGGAACACCAGUGGCGAAGGCGGCUUCCUGGACACCAACUGACGCUGAGACGCGAAAGCGUGGGGAGCAAACAGG